UGCCAGCCGCCGCGGUAAUACGAAGGUCCCAAGCGUUGUUCGGAAUCACUGGGCGUAAAGCGUGUGUAGGCUGCGCGGAAAGUCAAAUGUGAAAGCCAAGGGCUCAACCCUUGAACUGCAUUCGAUACUCCCGUGCUAGAGUAAUGGAGAGGUAAGUGGAAUUCUCGGUGUAGCAGUGAAAUGCGUAGAUAUCGAGAGGAACAUCAAUGGCGAAGGCAGUUCACUGGACCGUGGUCGACGCUGAGGAGCGAAAGCUAGGGGAGCAAACAGGAUUAGAUA
rnacentral:rRNA from 1 species